UUGAAUAAUUCUCUCACAUCUCUGUUUGCACUUUCGCAGUCUGGUUGCAUUGAUUUGUGUCUCAUAAGUAGACAUCUCCUUUGUUGGUUACAAAUCAAUGGUAUAGAACAAACCUGCCGACACAUUCCCACCUCCCCCACCCCUUGCAGUUUGAAAAAACAAAGCACAGUUUUCUUUUUAGAAAAUAAUUUCAUUGGUUAGUAAUAUACUAAAAGAAGAGAAAGCCCAGAGUUAAAAAACAAAAACAAAAACAAAAAAAACAGUUCGUGGGAACAAGAGCUCCUCCCAAGCUGGUCUCUGCUCCUUUCUCACCGCCUAAAACAGAGAACUGCCUAGUUGGAGGGCAGUGCUCCUGUGCCACUGCUCAUGAUGUGCUCUGUUAACCCAAUUAAGGUCCUCGCCUUCAUACAUCACAAGGCUACCCAAAGCAACACACUGUGAUGUCACAGUCAGAUAUGAUUUCAUGGCAGGAAAAAAAAAAAAAAAAAACCAAAAAAGGCAGAAAAGGUUGAAUGUGUUCUGCUUUUAUUCAAAUCUUAUAAGAGAGGGCAAAAAGGAAGAUAAUUUUUUGUUUUGAAGAGAAAAAGAGCACAAGCUUUCUCACGUGAAUGUGAAAACUCAGUUCUGAAGAUACCCUGGUGCUUUUACCCCCAAGUGGACAAGUCCAAUCAAUUUUGGCCUCGCUAUUGCUGACUGCACCAGGCCCAUUGUAAUACACCACUGAUUAAAUGGUAGGUUCAUGGCUGAAGGCACUACGGCAGGAACAAGCAGGAGCCGCUAAAGGAACGGAGAUGGGAAACCGAAGCCCAUUGCUCCUGAAAGCUGGCAGGCUUACUACGCUCGGCACUCCGUGCAGGCCACAAAUACGAGCACUUCAUCGGUGGACUAUGAGACAGCGCACUGUGGACUUGACCCAACUGAAAUAGAAAUCUGGGAGUUGGAAACCUGGAAUUCGUUUAAGCUUUUUAAUUGUGACCUUAAGAAUUACCGGAGGAAAAAAAAAAUCAAAGUCCUUUGAUUUUUUAAAAAUACGGAUGGGGGAAUAUAUGGUGUGUCCUAAGUUGCAAUGAUAUCUGAAAUGAAGGUGGAAAUUUGCUU